UACGGAGGGGGCUAGCGUUGUUCGGAAUUACUGGGCGUAAAGCGCGCGUAGGCGGAUCUGCAAGUCGGGGGUGAAAUCCCGAGGCUCAACCUCGGAACUGCCUUCGAUACUGCGGGUCUCGAGUCCGGGAGAGGUGAGUGGAAUUCCUAGUGUAGAGGUGAAAUGCGUAGAUAUCAGGAGGAACACCUGUGGUGUAGACAGCUUACUGGACCAUUUCUGACGCUGAGACACGAAAGCGUGGGUAGCAAACAGG
rnacentral:rRNA from 1 species